UAGAAAUACGGGGGUGCUCCUUCGGGAGAGCGGUGAGACAGGUGGUGCAUGGUUGUCGUCAGCUCGUGUCGUGAGAUGUUGGGUUAAGUCCCGCAACGAGCGCAACCCUUGUCUUCUGUUGCCAUCAGGUUAAGCUGGGCACUCUGAAGAGACUGCCGGUGACAAACCGGAGGAAGGUGGGGAUGACGUCAAGUCAGCAUGGCCUUUAUGUCUGGGGCCACACACGUGCUACAAUGGCCGGUACAAACCGUUGCAAACUCGCGAGGGUGAGCUAAUCGGAUAAAGCUGGUCUCAGUUCGGAUUGUAGGCUGCAACUCGCCUGCAUGAAGUUGGAAUCGCUAGUAAUCGCGGAUCAGCACGCCGCGGUGAAUACGUUCCCGGGCCUUGUACACACCGCCCGUCACAUCACGAAAGCCGG
rnacentral:rRNA from 1 species